rnacentral:tRNA from 1 species
GCCGAAGUGGUGGAAUAGGCAGACGCGCUGGACUCAAAAUCCAGUGGGCUUUAAAGCCCGUGCGGGUUCGACCCCCGCCUUCGGCACCA